rnacentral:rRNA from 1 species
CCCUUAGAUGUUCUGGGCCGCACGCGCGCUACACUGACACAGGCAACGAGCUUUCCUUUACCGAAAGGUAUGGGUAAUCUUUUGAAACUGUGUCGUGCUGGGGAUAGAUCCUUGCAAUUUUUGAUCUUAAACGAGGAAUUCCUAGUAAGCGCGAGUCAUCAACUCGCGUUGAUUACGUCCCUGCCCUUUGUACACACCGCCCGUCGCUACUACCGAUUGAGUGAUCCGGUGAAUAAUUCGGACUGCAGCAGUGUUCAGUUCCUGAACGUUGCAGCGGAAAGUUUAGUGAACCUUAUCACUUAGAGGAAGGAGAAGUCGUAACA